UACAGAGGGGGCAAGCGUUGUUCGGAAUUACUGGGCGUAAAGGGCCAGUAGGCGGCCAACUAAGUCGGAUGUGAAAUCCCCAGGCUUAACCUGGGAACUGCAUCCGAUACUGGAUGGCUUGAAUUCGGGAGAGGGAUGCAGAAUUCCAGGUGUAGCGGUGAAAUGCGUAGAUAUCUGGAGGAAUACCGGUGGCGAAGGCAGCACUCUGGGACGUGACUGACGCUGAGACGCGAAAGCGUGGGGAGCAAACAGG
rnacentral:rRNA from 1 species